rnacentral:rRNA from 1 species
AUGCGAGCUGAGUACGAUGCUCUCGUCGCCAACCGGACCUGGACCCUUGUUCCUCGUCCUCCUGGAGCCCACAUCAUCUCGGGCAAGUGGGUUUUUCGUCACAAACUCCAUCCGGAUGGCUCACUGGAUCGGUACAAGGCUCGCUGGGUUGUCCGAGGAUUUGCACAACGUGCUGGCGUUGACUUCUCUGAGACUUUUUCUCCGGUCGUCAAACCCGCCACGAUUCGUGUGGUGCUUCAGCUAGCUGCUUCUCGUCACUGGCCCGUCCAUCAGCUCGACAUCAACAAUGCUUUUCUGUAUGGCCAUCUUCAGGAGCGAGUCCUCUGUCAGCAGCCGACUGGGUUCGUUGACCCUCAGCGGCCGGAUGAUGUUUGUCUGUUGUCCCGGUCCUUAUAUGGCCUCAAACAGGCUCCGCGCGCUUGGUACCAGCGCAUCGCCGGAUUCCUUGGUCUUCUUGGGUUUCGCAGCACUACAUCUGACACGUCCCUGUUCGUGCUGCAUCGGGCCGAUCAUGUGGCUAUGCUUCUACUCUAUGUUGAUGAUAUUGUCAUCACUGCCUCCCGCACGGAUCUUCUUCGCGACAUCAUUGGUCACCUCGGUUCUGAGUUUCGACUGAAGGAUCUCGGCGCAUUGCACUUCUUCCUCGGCAUUAAUGUGCGACGUGAUGACACUGGGUUCUUUCUGCAUCAGGGACAGUAUGCUCUUGAUCUUCUGGACCGUGCCGGCAUGACUGACUGCAAACCAGCCGCCACACCUGCUGAGGCCAAGCCGAAGCUCUCAGCCUCCGCCGGCCAGCCUGCCACCGACGCUGCUCUUUAUCGCAGUAUUGUGGGCGCCCUUCAAUACCUCACGCUCACCAGACCAGACAUUCAGUUCGCAGUCCAGCAAGUUUGCUUGCAUAUGCACUCGCCUCGUGAUGUCCACUGGUCUUUGGUCAAGCGCAUUCUUCGGUAUAUUCGUGGCACUCCGACCUACGGUCUUCGUCUCCGUGCAUCCGCCUCGACUGAGCUCCUCGCUUAUACUGACGCGGAUUGGGCUGGCUGUCCAGACACUCGUCGCUCCACGUCUGGAUAUUGUGUCUUCUUCGGUGACUCCUUGGUCUCUUGGUCCUCUAAACGGCAGCCCACUGUUUCCCGUUCGAGUGCUGAGGCUGAGUACCGUGUUGUCGCCAAUGUUGUUGCGGAGACUUGUUGGCUUCGUCAUCUUCUUGGUGAGCUUCGGAUUUCUCUUCCGAAGGCUACUGUGGUCUUCUGUGAUAACGUAUCGGCCACCUAUCUCGCGGCUAAUCCGGUGCAGCACAAGCGCACUAAACACAUCGAGCUCGAUGUUCACUUUGUCCGCGAGAAGGUUCAGUUGGGUCAGCUCCGUGUACUUCAUGUACCGACCACCCAACAA